GACGAACGCUGGCGGCGUGCCUAAUACAUGCAAGUCGAGCGGGCCUCCGGAGGUGCUUGCACCUCCGGAAGGCCAGCGGCGGACGGGUGAGUAACACGUGGGCAACCUGCCUUUGAGGCCGGGAUAACACCGGGAAACCGGUGCUAAUACCGGAUACGUCCUCUUUCGCGCCUGCGAUAGGAGAGAAAGACGGUCUUUAAGGCCGUCGCUCAAAGAGGGGCCCGCGGCGCAUUAGCUGGUUGGUGGGGUAAGGGCCUACCAAGGCGACGAUGCGUUGCCGACCUGAGAGGGUGAUCGGCCACACUGGGACUGAGACACGGCCCAGACUCCUGCGGGAGGCAGCAGUAGGGAAUCAUCCGCAAUGGGCGAAAGCCUGACGGUGCAACGCCGCGUGAGUGAGGAAGGUUUUCGGAUCGUAAAGCUCUGUUGUGAGGGAAGAACAGCUUCCGGAGGAAAUGCCGGAGGUUUGCCGGUACCUCACCAGAAAGCCCCGGCUAACUACGUGCCAGCCGCCGCGGUAAUAC
rnacentral:rRNA from 1 species